UACAGAGGUCCCGAGCGUUUGUUCGGAUUCACUGGGCGUAAAGGGUGCGCAGGUGGGUUUGCAAGUUUGAUGUGAAAGCCCCGGGCUUAACCCGGGAAUGGCAUUGAAUACUGCAGAUCUGGAGGAUUGGAGGGGGGACUGGAAUUCUUGGUGUAGCAGUGAAAUGCGUAGAUAUCUGGAGGAACACCGGUGGCGAAGGCGGCAUCCUGGACCGGCAUUGACGCUGAGACGCGAAAGCGUGGGGAGCAAACAGG
rnacentral:rRNA from 1 species